rnacentral:rRNA from 1 species
GAUGAACGCUGGCGGCGUGCUUAACACAUGCAAGUCGAACGGUGAAAGAGGAGCUUGCUCCUCUGGAUCAGUGGCGAACGGGUGAGUAACACGUGAGCAAUCUGCCCCGAACUCUGGGAUAAGCGCUGGAAACGGCGUCUAAUACCGGAUACGACGCGGGAGGGCAUCCUCUCCGCGUGGAAAGAAUUUCGGUUCGGGAUGAGCUCGCGGCCUAUCAGCUUGUUGGUGAGGUAACGGCUCACCAAGGCGACGACGGGUAGCCGGCCUGAGAGGGUGACCGGCCACACUGGGACUGAGACACGGCCCAGACUCCUAGGGGAGGCAGCAGUGGGGAAUAUUGCACAAUGGGCGCAAGCCUGAUGCAGCAACGCCGCGUGAGGGACGACGGCCUUCGGGUUGUAAACCUCUUUUAGCAGGGAAGAAGCGGAAGUGACGGUACCUGCAGAAAAAGCACCGGCUAACUACGUGCCAGCCGCCGCCGUAA